GAUGAAGAACGCAGUGAAAUGCGAUAAGUAGUGUGAAUUGCAGAAUUCAGUGAAUCAUCGAAUCUUUGAACGCACAUUGCGCCCCUUGGUAUCCCGAGGGGCAUGCCUGUUCGAGCGUCAUUUCACCACUCAAGCCUGGCUUGGUGUUGGGCGACGUCCUCUUUGGGGACGCGCCUCGAAACGCUCGGCGGCGUGGCACCGGCUUUAAGCGUAGCAGAAUCUUUCGCUUUGGAAGUCGGGGCCCCGUCUGCCGGAAGACCUUCUCGCAAGGUUGACCUCGGAUCAGGCAGGGAUACCCGCUGAACUUAAGCAUAUCAAUAAGCGGAGGA
rnacentral:misc_RNA from 1 species